AACGAACGCUGGCGGCGCGCCUAAUACAUGCAAGUCGAGCGAGAAGGUGUAGCAAUACACUUGUAAAGCGGCGAACGGGUGAGGAAUACAUGGGUAAUCUACCAUCGAGUGGGGAAUAACCAACCGAAAGGUUGGCUAAUACCGCGUACGCCUCCGGGUCUUCGGGUUCGGAGGGAAAGCUGCACUGUGAGUGUAGCGCUCUUUGAUGAGCUCAUGUCCUAUCAGCUUGUUGGUAGGGUAACGGCCUACCAAGGCUUUGACGGGUAGCUGGUCUGAGAGGACGAUCAGCCACACUGGCACUGCGACACGGGCCAGACUCCUACGGGAGGCAGCAGUAAGGAAUAUUGCGCAAUGGGCGAAAGCCUGACGCAGCGACGCCGCGUGGGGGAUGAAGGUCUUCGGAUUGUAAACCCCUUUCGGGAGGGAAGAUGGAGCGAGCAAUCGUUCGGACGGUACCUCCCAGAAGCAGCCACGGCCGAACUUCGUGCCAGCAG
rnacentral:rRNA from 1 species